UUCGUGUGAACAGUGGUUGAUCACGAGUUAGUCGGUCCUAAGUUCAAGGCUAAAGCCGAAAACUUUCAAGUAAAAAUAAUAAUCAUAAUAUAUAUAUUAUAUAUGUUUGGCUAUAUAAUACACUUGAAUAAUUUUGAACGAAAGGGAAUACGGUUCCAAUUCCGUAACCUGUUGAGUAUCCGUUUGUUAUUAAAUAUGGGCCUCGUGCUCAUCCUGGCAACAGGAACGACCAUAAAGAAGCCGUCGAGAGAUAUCGGAAGAGUUUUCUUUUCUGUUUUAUAGCCGUACUACCAUGGAAGUCUUUCGCAGAGAGAUAUGGUAGAUGGGCUAGAAGAGCAUGACAUAUACUGUUGUGUCGAUAUUUUCUCCUCGGACCUUGAAAAUUUAUGGUGGGGAUACGCAAACUUCUCAACAGGCCGUACCAAUAUCCGCAGCUGGUCUCCAAGGUGAAGAGUCUCUAGUCGAUAGAAUA
rnacentral:rRNA from 1 species